CUCGUUUUUAUCACUGUUUCUGUUUGUAAACUAUCUGAAAAUAACACUAACGCUCAAGAUGGCAUCUUUACAAUUAGCUGGACUUUUAGUUUUAGCAGCCACUGCAUUUGCAACUCCAGUAGAAAAAAGGUCCUGUGAACCUGCAGAUUCGGGACAGACUUUUCCCCAUGGAGAAACUUUUACAUUAGAAUCAAGUGGACCCUGCAUCAAAUACCUCUGCGACGAUGCCAGCUACGCACCAUCUUCCAUUGAAUGUAUGAAUCCCGCUGAUGGUUCAUGCCAUGCUGUAGGUACAGUUAUCACUCCAAACUGCGUUAAAAAAGAAUGUGUCCAUGAUGGCAGUGUCGGAUUCCAGGUUAUAGAGCGCAAAUGUGCCGAUAAAGACG